rnacentral:rRNA from 1 species
AUGUUAGAUCUUUCUACACAGGUGCUGUCGUCGUCCGUGGAUCUUGUGAGACCCGCAGCCACUCGUUUUACCACAGCCUUCCUCACCCUUCGGAGUUUGGUCAAGCACAAGGCCGCUUUGAGGAGUCUAUUUACAUGUCAAGCAUGGGUUGAAAACAACUUAGCAAAGACACAAGCUGGCUUGAAUGUGCAAGAGAUUGUGCUUUCAGCUGAGUGGUGGAAUUCAAUUGAGGACUGCCUUAGAGCUUCAACUCCACUUCUUAGAGUGCUUAGUGUAGCAGAUGGUGAUGAGCAGCCCGCCAUGCCAGAGAUUACAUCACUUAUGAUCUAUGCAAAGGAGAAGAUCAAUGAAGGUUUCCCUCAACAAAACAAGAAAGCUUUGCUCAAGAAGGUCUUGGACAUUGUUGAGAAGCUUUGGGAGAGUUAAAUGGACCAUCCAUUGUAUGGGGCUGCUUUGUUUUUGAACCCAGGAAGUUCUUCCCUAUUCUAA